rnacentral:rRNA from 1 species
UACGGAAGGCAGCAGUGGGGAAUAUUGCACAAUGGGCGCAAGCCUGAUGCAGCCAUGCCGCGUGUAUGAAGAAGGCCUUCGGGUUGUAAAGUACUUUCAGUCGUGAGGAAGGUGUUAAGGUUAAUAACCUUAGCAAUUGACGUUAGCGACAGAAGAAGCACCGGCUAACUCCGUGCCAGCAGCCGCGGUAAUACGGAGGGUGCGAGCGUUAAUCGGAAUUACUGGGCGUAAAGGGCACGCAGGCGGUUAAUUAAGUUGGAUGUGAAAUCCCCGGGCUUAACCUGGGAAUGGCAUUCAAGACUGGUUAGCUAGAGUCUUGUAGAGGGGGUAGAAUUCCGAUGUGUAGCGGUGAAAUGCGUAGAGAUGUGGAGGAAUACCGGUGGCGAAGGCGGCCCCUGGACAAAGACUGACGCUCAUGUGCGAAAGCGUGGGGAGCGAAACAGGGAUUUAGAUACC